rnacentral:rRNA from 1 species
CCUACGGGAGGCUGCAGUGGGGGAUAUUGCACAAUGGGGGACACCCUGAUGCAGCGACGCCGCGUGUGGGAAGACGGUCCUCUGGAUUGUAAACCACUGUCCCCAGGACGAGGAUGACGGUACCUGGGGAGUAAGCUCCGGCUAACUACGUGCCAGCAGCCGCGGUAAUACGUAGGGAGCACGCGUUGUCCGGAAUUACGGGGGGGAAAGGGAGCGUAGGGGGGAUGGCAAGUUGGGUGUUAAAUCUACCCGCUCAACUGGGAAUCGCACUCAAAACUGCUAUUCUUGAGUGAAGUAGAGGGCGGCGGAAUUCCUAGUGUAGCGGGGAAAAGCGGAGAUAUUAGGAGGAACACCAGUGGCGAAGGCGGCCGGCUGGGCUUUUACUGACGCUGAGGCUCGAAAGUGUGGGGAGCAAACAGGAUUAGAUACCCGAGUAGUC